AACAGUGGCAACUUGUUCGGGUAUCCUUCCCCAGUGUGGAAGCUUUAGUUCUUUUGCUCUUUGCAAUGAAUCUUGCUGCUGCUCACUCUUUGGGUCCACGCUGCGUUUACACUGUGUUUAUGAGCUGUAACACUCACCACAAAGGUCUGCAGCUUCACUCCUGAAGCCAGCAAAGACCACGAACCCACCAGGAAGAAGGAACAACUCCAGACACGCAGCCUUAAGAGCUGUAACACUCACUGCCAAGGUCUUCAGCUUCACUCCUGAGCCAGCCAGACCAUGAACCCACCAGAAGGAAAAAACUCGGAACACAUCCCAACAUCAGAAGGAACAAACUCUGGACAUGCCGCCUUUAAGAACUGUAACAACGCAAGGGUCCGCGGCUUUAUUCUUGAAGUCAGUAAGACCAAGAACCCAAUUCCGGACACGUUUGGACCCAGAUGGAAAGGCAGCUCAACAUCUGAGAAGCCAGUCUUACUCCCUGCAGGCAACAGCUGCUUCCAGAAAACAGCCCUGUAAUUGUCACCAUCAAAUCCAUAUAUUUUCAAGGGAAGUUGGUCCCACACCAGAAGUCAUAGCUGAAUCACCAGCAGUAAUGCAGGGACAUACUGGUUGCUUCUUGGCUUUUCCAACCCUCUGCCAUGCUUGAACAUCUUUGUGAAAGUCCAGGAACAACAAAUAAGCUUAAGGAUAAAAGCCCCCCAGCCAUACCACCACAACCCCCUGUUAAACUCAUGCAUGACUUGUAGAAUCCUUUCCCCACUGUCACUAAAAGGCUUUUUACAUUUUCCCUCCUUAAAACACCAGUUUACUGAAUGGAACGCUAUUUCCUAAAUAUUUGCUACACACACAGCUGUAUAUAGAGUUCCCAGGAGAUGACUUUUUUCUUGUCAUCUUUUAAAACUACAGUUAUAUGUUGAUUUAAUUAUCUUCUCUCUAGAUUACUUCACCAAAGUACAGUUCCUACAGGAAGAUAAUGAUCUGACCUAACCUACUAUUGGCUGAAGGAAGGAGAAAAGCAGCUGAAGAUGUCUGUUGAGUGAUUACCCUCAUAAUCCGUGACUAAGAACAUCCAAAUCAGCAUGGCUUCUUCCUGUCUGAAAUUAUUACUACUUAGGGUUUUUCACGUGUUAUUUCAUUUAUUGAUUAUUCUGUUUUAAACUUGCAAGACGUAUUGUCUCUUCAGAAAUAAAACUUUAUCACUUGCUUCAUCAAUUCAAUUAAUUUCACAAUGCAUUGAUUAAACUCCUACGUAAGCAUUUCAGCAUUUUAAAACAUUUUUAAAAAGGUAAAAUCAGGACUGUCAUGUGAAUGAUAUGCCAAAGGUUUUA
rnacentral:lncRNA from 1 species